CCUGCCCACAGCUGGGAGAACAACAGGCCACAUGUCCAGUCCUUGCCCAGCCCAGAUUAUGCUAUAAAGACCUUUUUUGAAAGAGAAAGAAAGAAGUGACAUUCUGUGGAGACAUCCAGCCUCCCCAGUCUGUAGCCCCAGGUCCCCACACUGGUGUUUUUCUUCAGGUUGAGGACCUAUUCUUGGAGACCCAAGCUCCCAGCACUCCAGCCACAGACCUUCACCUUGAGACUUCCUUCUCAAGACCCUCAGGUUUUUUCUUCCCUUUUAGGCCUAAUCACAUCGGGGACUCGAGGCCUCCCUUCCAGGCUUGGCAGGCAGAGUAUCUCAAGAUGAAGAGAAAGACAUUUUCCCUUGCAUGCUGGCUGCUGUUUCAUCUUCUACUACUUUUAGGAAACGCUGUAACUUCUAAUGCUAACACUACAGCCACCACCCUUGGACAAACCACAUCACCCAGGGGAACUAACGCAACAGCUAUAACCUCCAGUGGGAACAUCACGACCACCUCCCUCGGACCAACCACACCGUCCAGGGGAACUAACGCAACAGCUAUAACCUCCAGUGGGAACAUCACGACCACCUCCCUCGGACCAACCACACCGUCCAGGGGAACUAACGCAACAGCUAUAACCUCCAGUGGGAACAUCACGACCACCUCCCUCGGACCAACCACACCGUCCAGGGGAACUAACGCAACAGCUAUAACCUCCAGUGGGAACAUCACGACCACCUCCCUCGGACCAACCACACCGUCCAGGGAAACUAACACAACAGCUAUAACCUCCAGCGUCACCAGCACAAGUACUGCCCCUCCAAGGAAAGAGGAGAACCUUAGCGGACAACUGAGACCAUGGGAAGUUGUUCUGGUCACUCUGGCCUCGGUUGCAAUGGCUGUGAUUCUCGUCACCGGGUUUCUCUUCCAUUUCCCUUUUGUUUUCUAGAGAAACUCUCCAGGCCUCAGAAACCUCUUCGAUGUUGAUCUCUUACCAACUGCAUGGCCAAGCCCCUACGGGACCAGGGCAACUGCAACCGACUUCAGAGGAGACCCUUCUUCCGUAGUCAUGGAGCUGACUGGGAGGCGGGAACAGCUCUGAGCUCCCUGAAGGCAGACGCAUCACCAAUGCGUGGGGGUGGGGGGCUGACCUGGGGGAGCCUGAGUAUUCCUCCUGUCCGAAGGACUGUCCCUCCCAGCUCCAUUUCAGCCUCUGACUGUCCUCCUUCCCACUUGGUUUUUCCAGACCGAAAAAAGGAGGCUGUAGCUGUGAACGAAUUAUUAAAUAAACCAUUCUGAUAUAUGUGGAA